rnacentral:rRNA from 1 species
UACGGAGGAUGCGAGCGUUAUCCGGAUUUAUUGGGUUUAAAGGGUGCGCAGGCGGGAGAUUAAGUCGGCGGUGAAAUUUUGCAGCUCAACUGUAAAAGUGCCUUCGAAACUGGUUUCCUUGAGUGUAUAUGAAGUAGGCGGAAUUUGUGGUGUAGCGGUGAAAUGUAUAGAUAUCACGAGGAACUCCGAUUGCGCAGGCAGCUUACUAAACCAUAACUGACGCUCAGGCACGAAGGCGUGGGGAUCAAACAGGAUUAGAUACCCCCGUAGUCCCU